rnacentral:misc_RNA from 1 species
GAUGAAGAACGUAGCGAAAUGCGAUAAGUAAUGUGAAUUGCAGAGUUCAGUGAAUCAUCGAAUCUUUGAACGCAAAUUGCGCCCGUCAGUAUUCUGACGGGCAUGCCUGUCCGAGCGUCAUUUCAACCCUCAAGCACUGCUUGGCGUUGGCGGAUUGCGUGCCCUCGCGGCGCUGCAACCGCCCAAAUACAGUGGCGGUCCCGCUGCGGCUCCCUUUGCGUAGUAACUCACCUCGCACUGGACCGGGCGGCGGCCUGCCGUAAAACCCCAACUCACGAAAUGUUGACCUCGGAUCAGGUAGGAAUACCCGCUGAACUUAAGCAUAUCAAUAAGCGGAGGA